rnacentral:lncRNA from 1 species
CUCCAACUGGGGCGACUUGUGGAGGGUGGUUCCUGGGACAACGCCCAUGCCGUGAUCAGGAACGGGGUCAGCAGGAGUCAGGUGGGGAAGUGCCAGGUGUCCACUGCCACGACCAACACGUUACUCACACUCACGGCACAAGAAUGGCCUCUGUACCCUGUGUGUAGAACAUCGGGAGGGGUGAGGAGAGAAGGCCCAGGAGGAGGGGCGUCCUUCCCAGGCAGCUGUCACAGGCCCCUAGCUGAGCUCUCAUGGCAGACACAGCCCAGGACACUCAGACCCAGAGUGACUACGAGCCCCGGCAAGACGUGGAGGAGCAGAGUUACAACCCGUCAAGAGCCUGAUUUCAGGUUGAAACCAGGCUUCACCAUGCAGCAGCUGUGUGGCCUCAGGGAAGUUACUGAACCCCUCUGAGCCUCCCAUGGAAAAUAAGGAUGAUGGUUCCCCUCACAGGGUUGUCGGGAGGAUUCAGUGUCCUCCUUCAGGUCUUGACUCGGAUGUUGCCUCUGAGUGAGGGCGUCUUUGGCCACCCCAUUUAAAGUGCCAACCCUGACACUUCCUCCCUCCUUUCCCCUCUGUCCUCUUCCUGGCUCUUAUCACCAUCAGACAAACCAAGUUUUCACUUCUUGAUCAUUGUCCAGCCCCUGCUGUGAAAUGUGAAGUCCUAAGACACAGGCUUUUUUUGUUUGUUACGUUCAUUGCUUUAGAAGGAAUUAAGGACAAGCUACCCCAAAUGACGUCACUUUGGUAUAUGGAUUAUUUUGAGCUGCAGGCACUGGAGAAACAGCAGGUGCAGGCAGGGCCUUCGGACCUCCCCUUUUCUAACCAAGAACAGGCCAUGACAUUUCCCACGAGAUACACACUCCCUUUGUACCAGGAAGAGAACAUCCUUAUCACCAAACACUGGGAGUGGAUGCCGAGGUGCAUCUGCACAAACACACUUAAUAAAAUAACCCUUUGCUUCCACCAGUUUUACUCGUUUCUCCCCCACGAAUCUUCCAGUUCCUCCCCCACGAUUUACUGCCCCCAGUCCAAACCUUUUUGUCUCAUCAUUUCUUCACA